rnacentral:rRNA from 1 species
UACGUAGGGUGCGAGCGUUAAUCGGAAUUACUGGGCGUAAAGCGUGCGCAGGCGGUUUUGCAAGCCGGAUGUGAAAUCCCCGGGCUCAACCUGGGAAUGGCAUUCGGGACUGCAAGGCUGGAGUGCGGCAGAGGAGACUGGAAUUCCUGGUGUAGCAGUGAAAUGCGCAGAUAUCAGGAGGAACACCGGUGGCGAAGGCGGGUCUCUGGGCCGAUACUGACGCUGAGGAGCGAAAGCGUGGGGAGCGAACAGG